rnacentral:lncRNA from 1 species
CAGAAGUCAGGUCGGAUUAAGCCAUAGUACGGAAAAAACUAUGCUACCUGUGAGCCCCGUCCAAGGACGUUAAAAGAAGUCAGGCCACCACAAGUGCCAUAGCUUGAGUAAACUAUGCAGCCUGUAGCUCCACCUGAGAAGGUGUAAAAAAUCUGGGAGGCCACAAACCAUGGAAGCUGUACGCAUGGCGUAGUGGACUAGCGGUUAGAGGAGACCCCUCCCUUACAAAUCGCAGCAACAAUGGGGGCCCAAGGUGAGAUGAAGCUGUAGUCUCACUGGAAGGACUAGAGGUUAGAGGAGACCCCCCCGAAGUAAAAAAA